UUAACUGAAACCAAAAAGAGGUAUAUUAUUGUUAAUAAUAAAAUUGAAUUUCAAAUUCCAGUUAAA
rnacentral:tRNA from 1 species